rnacentral:sRNA from 1 species
AGGGGAGGGGGCUGGGUGACGUCACUCCCCAACAUCCUUCCACCCAGCCAGAAAAGACCCUCUCAGAUUCACUCAACUCAUCCUGGUGCAGGCACAUGCACACCCGGGCGCUUCCCGCUCUGCUUCCUGAAGCACAGGAGGAAGAAAGGCUGGUCGCGCCCUAUUCAAAGCAGUUGAAUAAUACAAGGGGCGUUCAUUGAUGAGACUGAGUUGUGUCUAUCCCAGUUCACCUUGGCAUCCUCCUUCUUGGACUUUUCUGUAGGAUCCUUACUUUGAAGGCAGAGAGGAAGGAAGGGAAGUACCCAAAUCUUGGUGUGAAAACUCCUAGGGUGCUUUCAACUACUUGCUCUUAUGUUAGCAAAGCACUGCUCUCCGGCUUUCCUGAAAGACAACAAAAACCUCUCCAGACAGGCACCAAUGGUUGGACCAGGGUGGAAAAGGUGCCUGGUGCGGAUUGCUAGCUAAAAGACGUGUUUAAGCUUCUUCCUUACUCAUAUGAUCUCCAGCAUGUGGGGGAAGUCAGCAGCUGGAAGCCUCCACUGGCAACCAGCCCAUCAAAAUUCAUUAGGAACACCAUGAGAAAGGUCAAGUGAAGCGAAGCCUGGGCCUUCAAGCCACCUCCACUGCUCAUUCUGUGUUCAGGCCAGCCAAUGCAAACAGCACUUACUCCUGCAGACUCGAACAGUCUUGGAAGGAGCAAAGGUAAGCAGACCUCUUUAGAAGCAACCUAGUGGUCCAGUAUCUAGCACCCUGACUGUCGUCUCUAGCUGCCUGUGUAUCUGCUUCAGUCCUCUGCAUGCUGUGCACUUGAAAAUUACUGAAUGGAUGGUCAGUAUUCCUCUUGUCCUGUACACUGCAAAACGAAGGCAUACCGUUUGGAAGGAGUCUUAUGAGAUGUCGUUUAGUUUCUCAACAUGUUGGGAGUAAAGAAGCACCCUCGACCAACUCUCCCUUAUUGUUUUUUAACCUCCAUUUCCUCCUCUUUGAAUGGUUAGCCUUACAGUGAGAACCACAAAGAAGUGCAUUAUUGUGCAAGUUCCAAGCCAUGUUUAACCAAGUUUUGGAUGGAACCCACUGAAAGCUUGAACAGAGACAAUGAACUGUCUAAUCUCUCUGCCCUCAGAGUUAAUCUAGAAAUCUGAGCUUCUUGGUAAAUCACUCUCCUCCAGUAUAUAAACUACAGAUUGUCUCCCUUAUUGGCACAUCCUCCCUCAUGAACUAGUGACCCUACUUUUCUCAUCUAGAUGUUGGAAAUACCUCCUCUGGGCAUUGGAAAGACAAGGUGCCUUCUGCCUCCACAUCUGACCUUGCUGAUCAGAGCCUACUAGCAGUGAAGCCUGACUACUCUGGGUUCAUGGUCUGGGAAGUACUCUCUUCUCCAACUAGGAGCUAGAGAACUCAGUACUGGCUGUUGCCAAGUAUUUCACUGAGAGCAGAGAAGGCAGUUGCACAAGGGUAGAGGAGUGAAGACAGCCUGCUAACACUGAGAGCAGUAACAAAGGCGCAGAGCCAGGAGACCAUCGAGGCUCUGGUACGGGAAGCCACACAUCAGCCAAUCCUUCCACUUCUUUCUCCAGUUCACCACUGGCUUCUGACAUUGAAGCCCCGGUGAAGAGGUUUGGCCACAAGGAAAGAGAUUCUUCCGCAAACUUCGAGAAAGGUGCUUGCUGGUCUCCAUGUCCAACUUUAAAAGACUUUUUCUCUUCUCAUGUCUUCCUCUUUCAAGUGGCAACUGCGAUUCUCAACUUUUCUGCUGUACUGUUUUCCUGUCAAUAAAAUCCUCCUUAAAUUUCCUUCUGAGUUUGUUUUAAAAUUCUUGUAUCAUUUCUAGAACCCACAACAGGGAGCCCCAUUCCAUGCCACAGUAAAAUCCUAGUCAAAAGCAAAGAAAAUAAUGUGAUGAACACAUUUGGAAGACUGUAAAAUGGCAUGUAAACAAGAGGCAUGGGGUCCAUAGUCAGGGAGAGGCUGGGCAUUACUGGUAGAAGUGGUGUUCAUCAUCAUUGCCUGUGUUGUUGCCCAUGAGUCCAUCUUUGUUUUACCUCCUGCACUAGAUUUCCUCUUCAGGAAUUUGUUUUUUAGUCUAUUGUCAAUUUACAUGUAUGAUUUUAGUCCUUUAGCCUGGUUUAUACUACCUUUUUUUUAUGUUAUCUUUUAUAUGAAGACAGUUGCCUCUUGGUCACUUGGGCAUUUCUUUGAAAAUGAUCAUACGAGAGCCUCAGAAGUCUCCUUUCCUUCAAAGCAAAGAAGGAGGAUAAGGACAACUACCUACAGGUGGUAAAAGAAAAUCCAAGGGACAGACUGACCCUUUCACGGGUAGCCUGGCUGCUCUGUGGUCCUCUCCAUUCCUCUGUUCUUAUUUUGCACGUUUAUUUAUAGAGUGAAAAUGACACUUUAGAUUCUCUAUUGUACAAGGUUUGAACUGAAUAAAAAUCGAUGUGUUAAGAAAACGAUUCAUUUUAACAUACAGAAUUUCUUCAAAACUUAAAUGAAAGACAAAAAUGGGGUGAUAGUUAAAUCACCAAUGUCAGUUACUUUUAACAAAUUAAACUUCAAUAUAUAAGAUGGGGAUGAUAAAAUCUUGGUGGAUUCAUUUCAAAUUCCAAGAAAUGAGGUAAGUCCCUCAUCUCAUGACACAUAUUACUGAUUUCUAUUGCAGUGUGGUGACACAGAAUACAGAGACAUG